CACUGUUGACAGACAGCCAGGCUGGCUUCUUUAGAGUAGACAACUGUAGUCAAGCCACUGAAAGCAACAUAACUUCGCUAACGUUAGAUGGCUUUGAUGGUGGUGGGCAGUUAUAUUGAAGGCCAGUGAUUGUGGGGGAACUGCCAGAGCUGAACCAGUGACUCUGUGGUUAUGGAGCGAGGCCACCACCUGUGCCAUGACCUCUUGGCAGUUGAAGCCUGCAGCAGUAGGCCUACACUAAGAAAGAAGGGCCACUUGAUCCUGUACAUCUGACCCCAGGACCAACCUGCUAUGACCAAUGAGGACUUAAACAGUCAUUUUAUACCACUGUAGAAAUACUGACUCAUUUUCAUAUCAUCUUUAUCAUAUGUAUAAGGACAUGAUAUGUUUUACAUCAGUCGACAUGACAUGGACCUCAGUUGUCCAAAACACUCAAAAUAAAAGACACACAGACACAAUGCAGCUUUCAAGAUUGCUUUAAGAUAUAGAUAUAUUUUCAGAUCUGAGUUCAUGUCAAAAAUACACAUUAUGAUUUACAGAGUUUUGCACUAGAUCAUAAUGCUGAGGAUGAUAGAUGUCACAUAAGCAGUAACUGAAAUAUUCAUUUAAAUAUUAAAUAACUGACGGUAAACAAAGAAAAUUAUGUAAACACUAAAGCUACAUGUUACUCUCUAUUGCAACACUUUAAAGAUUUGUUUUUGUAACAGUACAAAAAAACAUUAGAAUAUUACUCCUUUUGAUUUCCAGUCGUGGAAAUACACAGUGCGCUUUUUCAAUGUCGUCUUGUAAUUUUCUCAGUCUCUUGAUUGCUUGUUCUGGUCAGUCAAUGGUCCAUGGUCGCUAUUGUGUUUUUGAUGUGUGUUUUAGCAUGUCUUUAAUACAUUUUCUACAUGUAUUUUCUACGUGUUUGAGCGUCACAGAAAACAGCAGGGUUCUGUAGGGCCAGGAGUUGUUCAUGGUCAGAU